rnacentral:rRNA from 1 species
UUCCUACGGGUGGCAGCAGUGGGGAAUAUUGGACAAUGGGCGAAAGCCUGAUCCAGCCAUGCCGCGUGUGUGAAGAAGGUCUUCGGAUUGUAAAGCACUUUAAGUUGGGAGGAAGGGCAGUAAGUUAAUACCUUGCUGUUUUGACGUUACCGACAGAAUAAGCACCGGCUAACUCUGUGCCAGCAGCCGCGGUAAUACAGAGGGUGCAAGCGUUAAUCGGAAUUACUGGGCGUAAAGCGCGCGUAGGUGGUUUGUUGAGUUGUAUGUGUAAGCCCCGGGCUCAACCUGGGAACUGCAUCCAAAACUGGCAAGCUAGAGUACGGUAGAGGGUGGUGGAAUUUCCUGUGUAGCGGUGAAAUGCGUAGAUAUAGGAAGGAACACCAGUGGCGAAGGCGACCACCUGGACUGAUACUGACACUGAGGUGCGAAAGCGUGGGGAGCAAACAGGAUUAGAUACCCCAGUAGUCAUA